GGUCUAGUGCCACGCGUCGGCAACGGGAGCACGACAAAGGAGCAAGCCAUAGGCGAGCUGUCACCUCUGCAUUGAAUGCGCUCAUCUAACCCCCCUGGCCGCAUUAAUAGGGAUGUAACCCCUUGACAGGGGAACACUGACCAUUGUGAGCCACUCGAGUACGGAUAAGGCCUCUGAUGGGAUAGACGAUCAGAAGGGAGACCAAUGGAUGAUCAACAAAAGGAAGGAGGGGAUAGGAGGAAGGGAAUCAUAUAAGAAAGGCGAGCAAAGCAGUUUAGAGGAGGAAAAAAAUUUUGAUUACUGAAGAGGAGGACAUAGAAUGACUUGGAGGUUAUGUUAGUUUCAGGGGGGGAACCUCCUCGGACGAGGGUCGAGGAGCUACCCUUAAUUAAAUUCUUGGAUUUAUGAAAGACGAACAACUGCAAAAGCAUUUGCCAAGGAUGUUUUCAUUAAUCAAGAACGAAAGUUGGGGGCUCGAAGACGAUCAGAUACCGUCCUAGUCUCAACCAUAAACGAUGCCGACCAGGGAUCGGCGGAUGUUACUUAUAGGACUCCGCCAGCACCUUAUGAGAAAUCAAAGUCUUUGGGUUCCGAGGGGAGUAUGGUCGCAAGUUUGAAACAUAAAGGAAUUGACGAAAGGGCACCACCAGGAGUGGAGCCUGCGGCAUAAUUUGACUCAACACGUGGAAACUUACCAGGUCCAGACAUAGUAAGGAUUGACAGACUGAGAGCUCUUUCUUGAUUCUAUGGGUGGUAGUGCAUGGCCGUUCUUAGUUGGUGGAGUGAUUUGUCUGGUUAAUUCCAUUAACGAACGAGACCUUAGCCUGCUAACUAGCUAUGCGGAGGUGACACUUCGCAGCUAGCUUUUUAAAGGGACUAUGGCCGUUUAGGCCAAGGAAGUUUGAGGCAAUAACAGGUCUGUGAUGCCCUUAGAUGUUUUGGGCCGCACGUGUGCUACACUGAUGUAUUCAACAAGUUUAUAGCCUUGGCCGACAAGCCCGGGUAAUCUUUGAAAUUUCACCGUGAUGGGGAUAGAUCAUUGCAAUUGUUGGUCUUCAACGAGGAAUUCCUAGUAAGCGCGAGCCAUCAGCUCGCGUUGACUACGUCCCUGCCCUUUGUACACACCGCCCAUCGCUCCUACCAAUUGAAUGGUCCGGUGAAGUGUUCGAAUCGCGGCGACGUGGGCGGUUCGCUGCCGGUGACGUCGCGAGAAGUCCAUUGAACCUUAUCAUUUAGAGGAAGGAGAAGUCGUACCAAGGUUUCCGUAGGUGAACCUACGGAAG
rnacentral:rRNA from 1 species